AUACGUAGGUGACAAGCGUUAUCCGGAUUUACUGGGCGUAAAGGGCGUGUAGGCGGUCUUGCAAGUCAGAAGUGAAAUUCCUGAGCUCAACUCGGGCGCUGCUUCUGAAACUGCAGGACUUGAGUGCUGGAGGGGAUAGCGGAAUUCCUAGUGGAGCGGUAAAAUGCGCAGAUAUUAGGAAGAACACCGGUGGCGAAGGCGGCUAUCUGGACAGUACCUGACGCUGAGGCGCGAAAGCGUGGGGAGCAAACAGGAUUAGAUCCCCUGGUAGUCCACGCCGUAAACGAUGAAUACUAGGUGUAGGGGGUAUCGACUCCCUCUGUGCCGCAGUUAACACAAUAAGUAUUCCGCCUGGGGAGUACGGCCGCAAGGUUGAAACUCAAAUGAAUUGGCGGGG
rnacentral:rRNA from 1 species